CUCGUAGGCGGCCAACUAAGUCAGACGUGAAAUCCCCAGGCUUAACCUGGGAACUGCGUCUGAUACUGGAUGGCUUGAAUUCGGGAGAGGGAUGCAGAAUUCCAGGUGUAGCGGUGAAAUGCGUAGAUAUCUGGAGGAAUACCGGUGGCGAAGGCGGCAUCCUGGACCGACAUUGACGCUGAGGAGCGAAAGCUAGGGAGCAAAC
rnacentral:rRNA from 1 species